CAUGCUACUAUUACAACUAAAUCAGCUACUGCAUAAAGUAUGCUGUCAUUAUAUAUUUCAUAUUGCACAAUAAUACUGUGCUCAUAAUAUCUGCAUACAUGCGCUAUGCGUUCAUAUACCAUGUACGCACAGCGCAUACUGACCUGCCCUAAUUCAUAAUGCUGAUCUACAAGCAAAAUAACUUCCUUCACACACGCUUGUGUAGGUCGUUCCCCUUUUCAUAAGCUUUUGAAUCUCUUAUACGUCCGCUCUCAGUUGAUUCUCUCUGGGUGCUCUAUUUCUGUCCUCCUCACCAAUAUAUCGUCGCUCUCCUCUCACAAUUAUAAGCCAGGGCUUAUAUUUUUUCUUUUUUCAUGCUUCGGCUAAUAUUUUAUAAAUAACUUUGUAAUCUAUGAUUCAAAUAAUUCAGUUUAUUUUUCAAUUAAAUUUCUAUUUAUUUAUCGUCUCCACUUAUUGACUCUCUUUUUCAUACAAUAAAUUUCUCGCAAUUGCACAAUACAAAUUCUAAUUUUAACUGCCGUUUAGCUUUUUCUUUUGCUUUGAAUUAAAUCAUAUUGCUGCCCUGCUUACUCUUAUGCGUCCCGUGCACUGCCGACGUCAUUUCGGCCAUACGCGUCAUGCGCUUGUGCAGCACGGCAGCAUAUCAGCUGUAAAAAUUCUUCACCCCCCCUUUUGUACCUAUUUCUUCGUUGGCUAAUAUGCUAUUUUAUUGUGGUUUAUGUUCCUGGACUGGCAUAUUAACUGUGCACGAUAUGUUCUAGUCGGGAACUUUUCUAACAAUUACCUGCUAUUAGCUAUAUGUUUUUUCUUGUCUAAUUGUUCUUCUUAUUAUUAUGCUGCGAUUUUACUGUCAAUGUUUUUCGGCAAGCAGCCUGCCUGUGUCGGAAACUUUUUCUUACAUGAAUCUAAUAAGAACAUUUUUGGUUAAUUUCCAACGAUUUACUAGAGCAACUUGUUACAAAUUUUUCAUAAAUAAACUGAUUUUCCCUAUUAUUUAACUUUAAAUAUUGAGAUUUAUACUUCAUUCCUUAUAUUAAUUGUUAUAUUAAAUCAGAUUCAAUUCAAUUUGCUCUAUGGCCAUUUGGAGGUCAUUUUAGUGCUAAGGAGGACCCAGAUCCGUGUAUGGUAAUUUAUUUUACUUUAGAUACAGCUGGAUUCUGGAUCCCCCUUGGCCAUUCUUUACCACUGUGGGCGGUCGUGCUGACUUGUGCUCUAAUAUGCUGCUUCGUUCAGCGAUAUAAUUGAGCGCUUUUUGCCACUGCUGCUCAAACCAAACAUUUUUUCCUGGGUCUGUAUUCUGUCUAUCACUGUUAAUUAACAUUUAUGCUCUCCUUCCCCUUUUUAUCUUUCUUUAUAAUGUUUCUCCUGUUUCUUUACUCAUGAGAAUCAAAAUCGUUCCAAGCCUUACUAAGCUGCUACUCAUUCAGUAUGACUCAAUUUGAGUGAGUCUGUUUCUGAGCUUUUUCGCUCAAUGAGCUUUAUUCUAAAACGGCAAUUUUCCACUGGUACACCCAGCACCCAGUUUUAUAGCCUAGGAAUUUUGCCUCAACCUUCAGUCGGGUUAUUCGUUUAAACUGACAUGCAUGUGUUUUUUCGCUGCGUUCAUAAAAAAUUAAAAAACAAAUUAAAUUUUGUCAGAAAUUAUUCUGUUGUAUUGGUCGUGUAGUGCCGCGUUUUCCAUUCCCAGUGAUCUUGCGCGCCUGGUGUCAUAUCGUUUUUGUGGGGACCGUGUCUAUCUGGUUGGUCGCGGCGGCUGGAGGUGUUAGCUGCUUGAGCUGCCUGUCCACGCUGUUGGCCGUCUAAGUUGGCCACAUGUCCCCUCUUCUGCGGUAUUUCGCUAGUGCUGGUGGGAAUACGUGGGUGUGUGUGCGUGGCUCUGCACUGGCCCACACCUCCAGUCAAAUUGGGUCUAAAUAAAGAACUUUGCUGCACACCUCUCUUGUUUGGCUGUUUGAGGCCUUUUUCUGCCUGCUGUUACUGCUUUUAUAUAAAUCUGCGCCCUGGAGUACUUAAUUCAUAUAUCACGUCGACUGACCUAUGCUUUAUUGAGUGGAGCUUUGCUGCUGGAUAGUGCCGCAACGCGGGACAUUUUCUAUAUACAUCUUGAUUGUCUGCUUCAACAUGUCCUGCACUGGAAAUGGACUAAUCAAUAUGUGAUACUAUCGCCAUAAACUCUAUGAUAAUGCAGAGUAAAUAUUCAACGCUUUAUUCCUGUCUAAAUCCAUUUAUUUUAAUACAAUUCACAUAACAAAUUCAUUACACUUACAUCACAUUAUAUAAAUAAUAUAAAUCCUAAUACAACACACAUUUAAUUAAAUAACUGGCUAUAUAACUUUCUAUUUUAUUUUUAUAAUUCAUUAAUUAAUCUGACUUAUUUAAUGCAUUACAUUUAUUUACAAAGCCCAUGUGGGCAACUAAUUCAUAAACGCCGUUCAGGCCAUAAAAUACUACUUAAAUACUAUAACAUAAAUUUUUUAGAACAUUCAAUAUAACAAUUUAUUUCAUUUAAAUUAUCAAAUAAUACACAUAAUUAAUAAUACAUCACAUCAUCAUACCAGUAAAUAACGCACAUUCAUCUUUACCACCACACUUUUUAUUACCAUGUUACAAAAACCCAAAUGGGCAACUAAUUCACAAACGCCGUUCAGGCCAUAAAUUACUAUUCUUAUAUUACAACAUAAAUUUUUUAGAAACUAUCAAUAUACCAAAUUAUUUCAUUUAUUUAUCAAAUAAUACACAAAACUAAUUAUAUAUCGCACCAUCAUACCAGUAUACAACGCAUAUUCAUCUUUACCACCACACUUAUUACUACCAUGCCGUCUUCUCACCAUCACCUAUACUUCCUAUUUUACACCUAACUAAUUAUUUUGUAUAAUUACUGCCGGUAAACUACCUCGCUAUGGAUUGGCCCAACCUAUGUCUGGCUCUGGAUUAUGGACUGGUACCCGCUCGUCUCCCGGCAUGAUGCUUUUAUGCUCGCUUGCUGCCCGGAUUUUGCUACGUUCUCGUGCUGGAUUUGCGUGCUGCUUUCGAAUGCAACGACGUCUCUGGACCUUCCGAUCCUGGAAUCUUUUAAAUCGCCGUCCUGUCUCUCUUGGCUUCAUGGACUAUCACACUCCUUGUAUAGGACUCAUACAUGCUCAAAUUGCAAUGAUGUCUGGUAUCCAAUAGGCCUUGGAUUCAACAUACUUUUCUGACAAAUUACUGUUCCUGCAACGUAAAUAUAUACUUAUUAAACCAUUUUCACAUAAAUCACACAUAUAAAUAAUUUUAUAAACCAAAAAACAUUCAUAAAUUAUAAUACACAUAUACGCAAUUAAUACAUACUACCUUCAUCCAAUAUCAUUUAUCAAUUAUCUGUAAUCACAAUUCCAACCACAACAUUAAGCCAUAUAACUCUUGUUUUUCACAUUAUAAUUUAUUAAUACAUAGCCCAUAACUCAUAGUAAUACAUUUCAUAAAUAUUAUAUUCACCAAAUUCCUUAUAACAUACAACAACAAAUUAACUUAUUAAAUACCAAUCAACAAAGACAGAUGCAUUUCAACAUAUAUUCGAAAAUACACAUUGGUUAUGGAUUUCCAUUUACACACCACAUCAUACUCCAAAUUUCAUCUACACACUUUACCGCAUUCAUCGCCCAUAUAUAUGGUUACAUAUUCAUCGCUACACAUUACUAUUUACACAUCAUCAUUCACGGCACUUCUCAUCUAUACAUUCAACAAUAUAACUAAUGACUUCUUUUUUAUCAUACUGCCAUCAUGGUCCAUCCGGAUUUGCACCUCCUGAUUCUCUCGGCUGACAUCACCAUUUGGCACCCCACUGGUGCGCAUCCUUCAUGCCCGUUCCUGGGAUUCGUUUUGGCUGCAUCCACGCCUGCCACACAAACGCUUUCAUUGGCACCACUGGAUCUUCACAGCAUCAACAUUUACACACUAUUCAUACUUAUAUUUAUUAUUUAAGAUUAUUUUUGUCAUACGUUUAAGCCCACUAAAACGUCUAAUUCAUAGCUUUUUGUUACACAAAAUGAAUUUACCCAAAAUUUAAAAAUUUCAAUUUUGAAAAGAAAACUUUGAAUAUAUUGUUAUAAUUUAUACUUCACUUUAUCUUGUAAUCUCCUUAUAUUAUAAUUUACAACUUGAAUUCAAAUUUUUUAAAUCUUUUCACAUUAUUAUUGUUAUAAAUUUCAUUUUUUCUUAUUACUUCUACCUUUAUACAUUGUUUGUUAUUCCUCAUUAGAAUUAAUUACACUUAGAUUUAAUUUAUGUACUUAUAAAAACAACAACUGCCACACCACAAUAUCUACUCCUGGUACCCCCUUGAGGGAGGGGGUGCCUCACCUACUCGCUUCGGCUUUUCACCGCAUUCCCUCCACUCAUUCAAACGGGAAGGAUCAAGACAGUAAUUUUGUUGUCGUCACCUCCUUUGACUGCACUACCGGCUGGAUUUGGGAUUAGUUCUAAGUUUAGUUUAAGUAAAGUUGUACCCAUUUUCUGGCUAUGUGCGCCAUAAUAAAAUAUAUAUAUAUGAAA